AGAAAGUGUGCCCGCCCCCUCUGGGGCGGAGAGACUCAGCCCCUCCCCCUCAGCGGAUAACCUGGGACUGACCGUUCCCUGGGGAUCCGACGGGCCCCAGAGGACCCACGCCUGAGCCCCGUGCGACUCGUGGCCUUUGGGCUAGAAGCCAUGGACGCCUUCACCCGCUUCACCAACCAGACCCAGGGCCGGGACCGACUCUUCAGACAAAAUUGACUUGUGUCUGUGAGUGUGUUCUGGGAAGAGAGAAGAGUUAAACAUAAGGCAAUCCAUCAGAUAAUCCUCAAUCAGCCUACACAGUUGGUACAGCGAGCUCUGGGCUAGAAGAUCCAGGCUGAGGAGGAGGAUGGAGAAAGAUUGAGAUGUAGAGCCUCUGGGUUGAGAGGGACCUCUGAAAUGAACUCAUCUAGACUGCUGCCAUGGAGAUGGUGCUCUACAGUAGCCCUGUCAAUCGCUGGCUGGCUUCUGCCUAGGUAAAAAAAAAAAAAAAAACUAGCCGGGCGUGGUGGUGGGCGCCUGUAAUCCCAGCUACUUGGGAGGCUGAGGCAGGAGAAUCCCUUGAACCCGGGAGGCGGAGGUUGUAGUGAGCCGAGAUUGUGCAACUACACUCCAGCCUGGGCAACAGAGCAAGAAUCCAUCUCAAAAA
rnacentral:lncRNA from 1 species